rnacentral:lncRNA from 1 species
GUAGCCCGCAUCACCAUUUCACCAUAGUUCCAAUCGACCCACACAAGUCCACCAUUCCUAAUGGCCCAAAUAACUCAAUCCUCUAAUAAUCCGGUUUAGGUUCGAACAGCAUAAACUUCAUCCCCAAUUCCCAUCCAAGACUCUAUAGAACUCAUUCCAAAUCUACCGAUCACUGUGAGUCUGCCAGUCUCUUCAAGUCGUCGACGCCACUAGAAGCCUUCAAGUUCGACAGUGCCACUGGAAUCGGCUCCCUUACGUCCCUGACUCUCUGCUCGCGCAAUGAUCCGUUGUUCUAACUUUCUAAGGUAAAAACCUAACCUUUUAUUUUCGGCUAUAUGUUGUGAUAACGGGUGUGGCGGCUAUAUGUUGCGACUAGUUGUAGUCUAGAUAUAUGUUGCGAUAAAGGGUGUGAAGCUGCACGAAUUGUUGCUUGUUCAUCACCACCUCCUUGGAUUUAGCUCUAUUAGUUUCUUGAAUGUCAAUCAAUUUGUUGGAUUCAAGAAGAUUUUCUAUGGGGUUCAAGGAUUCAACAACCAUGAUGGCUUUUUUUUUUUUGGAGGCUUUGAAAAUCAAAACUAGAGCUAGAGGCUUGUUCUCUAGCUUUCUCAAAUGUUGCUUUUUCGCCCUCUUUUUUCUAGCUUCUAUGGUUUGACUCUUGUCCAAUAGUACUAUUUCUUAAUCUUUAGAAUUGGAAUCAGAGAUAGGAUCAUCUUUCUAUUCUUGUGUCUUCUCGAAUGCUGCUUCUGAGCAUUUUUAUUGGUCAGCUUGAUUGUGCACUUGCUGUGUAGAUAUUUUUUCCAAUGCUAUAGAAGGUGGCGCUUUAGUAAUUGCAUCAUCUUCGUCCAUUGUAUUAGUUUUUUGGACAAUGUAUUGACUAUUUUGUGGCAUGUCUUGAUAUAUUGACUAUUUACUCAUUGUUUGACGACUCUCACCAUUCAGUUGUUACCUUUUGGUUUGAGUAUGGCUGCAUCUGGAAUUUUUAUUUUUUUUUGACUUCUUCAGGUACUACAAGUAAUGCUAGAGCUAUCUUAGUCUUGGGUAGAGAUCUAAUGGUGGUUCCAAAACUAAUUCAUCCAUUGUCACCGGCAAUUUCAUCUCCUCAGACCUCACCUAAACACCAAAUAGACGACACAUGGAUGCAAGUACAAAUGACAUCUUUACUCUUGGUUUCCAAUAUGAUCAUGUUCUUAAUCACGUGGGAUUGCACCUUUGGCCCACAAUAUUUCAUUAUAGAUGCUUAAUUAGUCCCCAGUAAUAGAAACCGUCCAAAUCUAUGUACAAUUUGGAUGACCCCCCACAUGCCCAACUUAAUGAAGCUAAAUUUUUCUUCCCAACUUGGGCUGAUGCCCAAGAAUUUGAAGUGUUUCCAUCAGGGCCACUUAACGAUUUAAAAGAUUUGGAAGCCUUUAUCAUUUUUAUAUUUUAUCGGGACCAAAAAUAUUGCUCAACUAUAAUGCAAGGAUGGGGACCAACUUAAUGCUGGGACAUUACUAAGGCCAAUGAUGAAAUUUCCUUUCAAUCAACUAUGUGUCCUCUCGUGCUGAUGUUGAUCUUUGUUUGUAUUGUGAAAUUAGGAUCUCAAUGUUAACAGACCACCUACACCAACUAGGGGUCUUCCUCAAGUGACUAAUGAUAGAGAUUCUCUUGCUUGGAUUUAGAUUUUGUCUCCUAAAUUGCUUUAUCGUACUCCGGGUUGAUGCUUUCACUCCAAAAUUUUCAUGAUCUGUACGUAGCGUUGACCUCGAGAAUUGGACCCUCCACGUGGCCAACGGGUAGCUACUCCAUGUAAUCCUCUCUGCGCACAACAACGCAUGGUCAGAAGCAUACGGUCGAAACUAGGGGUGGUGGUGACGACCACAUACACUCGGACGGUCAAGUCAGCAUUGGGUGAUCGGAACAGUGCUCCAGUUAUACAAGAGAGUGGGGAUGAUAAUAUAUAUUUCUUAGUAUAGAGAGUUAAGUUAUAAGAGUUUCAUUAUCUUUGUCUCUUGCUAGACCUUGGUAUUUAUAAAGGUAGAACACCGCUGGAUGUGGGACACAUGUAUGCAUCUGACGGUGUGAGGCAUCUGCUCAUAGGCAUCAAUCAGCCACGUCUAGAGUGGGCGGACAAUUAGUUCUUCUGAGUUUGGUUAACAUAAGGUUGAUAAGUCACAUCAACUAGACUUAUGGAGACGUCACAUCAAUUGAUCUUUGGAGGCAGAGGGGAUCUUGACAGAUAUCUUUUUGACAGUGGCGGCGAAGGGAUCUGUUAAGGGAGUGUCUCGAAGUGCUCAAUGCUUCGGAGUUGAGGGAUACUUCAGUUGCUUCAGUGGAUAUACUCUUCACCCUGCAAUGCGCCAUGUUGAGGUCGUUAGGAGUGGGCAUCACUUCGGAACCACUUCGGGUGAACAUGUGGAACUUCGGGGAGUGGUGUCUGUUGUUCUGAAGUGGUUUAGUUAGGGGUGUAACACAUAGCUUGAUUCCAUGUCGAGGAUUCUGCAGAGAUAAGUUAUUCACUCUUAGAAAUAUAAAGGCUCUUUGCUUUCACUGGAGUGCGUUCAGAAGAUAAAGAGGAAGAGUUUGAACAUGUUGCAGGCGGCUAGUUGUAGUCUACAUUUAUUGUGCUGAAAGCAAUUCAAGAUUUCCCAAAAGCUCUACAUGAUCCAUAACAGGUGGAAGUUACUGUGUCAUUUCUUCCUUUGUGUGGGCAGGCUUCGUUUUUUCCAUCUUUGUAUAUUUUUCAUCCAUUGGGUAGGUGCGUUAUUGUUAUUUUGCUGUCACUUGUGAGAGGACUUGAAGUUCGUAUAGAGGUUGGUGAGAUAUAAUCCCAAAUUAAACCCAAAUUAUGGUAAAACUAAACAAUAUAUCAUAAUCAUUUGAAGAUUACCCUUUUUAACAGAUAAUUACGCAGAAAAUGCCAUCAAUUGGUUUCAAACAUAAAAGGGAGCAGUUUCUCCAAAAUUUUCAAGAGGAAGAAAGAAAUAAAAUAAAGUGAACUGAACAUUAUUUAAGCCAGUCUAAUUAUGGUAAAAGUCUGGUCCAUUAUAGGCAACGUUGAACUUGUUUAUAAUAAUUGUCGACUGACCAUUUGAAUCAAUAAGGCUUUAGCUAUUGUUGGAUUUGAGCCUCUUAGGAAAGCAUCAGUUUCCAUUUAUUGCUUAUUUCAUGAUGUCGUAGUGUAAUUUUAUUGUUUAUAAACCUUUUAUGUGGAGACCACAUCUCUUAAUUGAUUACGUGAGCUUGAUUUUUUUUUUUUUUUUUUUUGUGUGAUUUUAAUUUUGAGUGAUCGUUGAUAACCAAAAGGGGAAAAAAAGGAAGAAAUAAAUUGAAAAUUCAGAGCAAAAAUCUGGUGGAUUUGAUUUUCUGUAAAUCUUGAAAGUUUAUAAUGAGUUGUGCGUAGAUGACUAUACAAGGGUUACCUCAGAUAAUGCACUCUAUGAGGAUCCGAAUUUGAUUGAUUGUGGACUUACUAAUUGAGAAUUUUUUGACUCUUCAAUUGAACUAGACUAUAGAUCUUUAGUCAGUUUCUACGGUUCUCGACCUUGCAAUAUGAUAAAGUGUUACAAGAAACGCCAUUGGAAGAGAUGCUGGCCAACGUGGAUGAACUUAUGUUCUUGAAUAAUUUAUGACGUUUGGCCAAAGAGCAGUAUUAGACUUAUUCGAUGAAGGUAUGUUUUGUAGACUAUAUAUAUAUAUAUGAAUUUAUUUCCAUUUUCUAAAUCAAUACUAGUUCUAUUUACACAUGAGCUUUGAAUCAAAUUUUGCUAUCAUUUCAUAGAGUUCUCAAUAGCAUGCAAUUAUUGGUAGUUUUUUAGGAUGUACUCUUCUGCUUGAUACUACUUUCUCUAUCAAACGGAUUUCAAUGUUUGGCUCUAUUAAUCAGGUUGAUAUACUUGGGGAAACAAGACAUGAUUAUAUCUCAUUUUCCUCGUAAGUAAAACCAAGAAGAGCUCCUACAUUUGUAUAGGGUAGAGCGAAUUCUGUUAGAAUGUUAAUAGUGCAAGAAGAAGAUGACAUUUGUUUCUAUUUUGUAUUUUGUGUAGGUUAAAAAUAUGUAAUGAUAUUUUAAUCUUAGUUUCAUGCACUAUCAAAAUGAUCUUUAAUUUGUUGCUUAAUUUACA